AUGCCAGGGCCCAGGACACAAGGGUGCUCUGAGAUGUACCCCAGGGAGGUGCAGAGCCCAGGGUUCCACAUGUGUGAGCCCAGGAGGGAAAGAUGUGUAGAUUAUGUGCACAGUGUGGGGAGAGCUGGGGAUUUGAGUCAGGAAACCUGGGUGUCCAUUCCUGGCUUUGCCAUGGGCCAGUUAUGUAACUGGAGCAGAGCACAGGUCCCUCUGGGCUUCUGUAGGGAAAGAGCAGCUGUCCAGAGCAUUUAUGUCCUGGGACAGGAAGGAGGGGGGCACGAGUCGUUUCACUAUCUCACAGGCAGGGGGUGUUCCAGGCACCCAUUGUUUCAUUGUCUCCUGAGGCAGGGGACACUCCAAGAAUGCAUUGUUUUGCCUCACAGGCAGGGGGUGCUGCAGGCAGGCACGCACUGCUUCAUUGUCUCCUGGGGCAGGGGGGCUUCAGGCAUGCGUCCUUUCAUGGUCUCAGGCAGGGGCCCUCCUUGUUUCUUAGGUUCACAGGAAGGAGGCGCCCCAGACACAUUGUUGUUCAGUCUCACAGUCAGGAGGCGCUCCAGGCAUGUAUUGUUCAAUCUCACAGGCAGGGGGCGCUCCAGGCAUGUAUUGUUCAGUCUCACAGGCAGGGGGCGCUCCAGGCAUGUAUUGUUCAGUCUCACAGGCAGGGGGCGCUCCAGGAACAUUGUUGUUCAAUCUCACAGGCAGGGGGUGCUCCAGGCACAUUGUUGUUCAAUCUCACAGGCAGGGGGUGCUCCAGGCACCUUGUUGUUCAGUCUCACAGGCAGGGGGUGCUCCAGGAACAUUGUUGUUCAAUCUCACAGGCAGGGGGUGCUCCAGGAACAUUGUUGUUCAAUCUCACAGGCAGGGGGCGCUCCAGGCACCUUGUUGUUCAAUCUCACAGGCAGGGGGCGCUCCAGGAACAUUGUUGUUCAGUCUCACAGGCAGGGGAUGCUCCAGGCACAUUGUUGUUCAAUCUCACAGGCAGGGGGUGCUCCAGGCACAUUGUUGUUCAAUCUCACAGGCAGGGGGUGCUCCAGGCACGCAUUGUUGUUCAAUCUCACAGGCAGGGGGUGCUCCAGGCGUGUAUUGUUGUUCAAUCUCACAGGCAGGGGGCGCUCCAGGCACGCAUUGUUGCUCAGUCUCACAGUCAGGGGGCGCUCCAGGGACGUAUUGGUUCACUGGACAGUCUUUGCCAGCAGCCCUUAG
rnacentral:lncRNA from 1 species